GACCAAGAGUCGGAUGCUUAACCAACUGUGUUACCCAGGCACCCUGUCAUAGGAGUCUGGACACCCUCUGCACCCCACAGCUCAGAUGUCACAAGAGGACUUCCAGGAGGGUUGGAGAGCUCUUGACAGCUGAGCAACAUCUACAGGAGCCUAUCCAUAGGGCUUUAAUCUGUACACCUUGGGGCCCGAACGUGGAGCUCACCACUGUGGGAACUGCUGGCUCCAGCACAGACGCUCCAGCAGCUUCUUCCAAACCCAGUCCUGGCUGGGAAGAGAACAGUAACUGGCAAUGGCCCGUGGCCACAGAAGCAUUUCCCAGGACUGGCCUUUGGCUUCAGAGAGAGGAAGGUGAAAAAGAACAUUGAAGAAGAGUUCCAUGUACGGUAUCACUUAAGCUUCCAUUUAAUUUCUCAGAUCCUGGAAAGAAGUCUCUGGAAAUGCCUUGUGGACAUAAAAGUCACAUUUUCCUUGGAAUGAAGAGAACUCUUUUAGGUCAUGUGCAAAAGAUUUCCUUUCAGUUUUCCACUCACUGAACUGCUGAACCUGUUUUUCCAGCUCACCACCUCAAAGUUACCUCUGAAUCAGCCUGGAGACACUUGACAGGAGAUAAACAGCGGUGCUUUUCAACUUGCCUCCCAAGCAAACCUGUAGCUCCCCUCCUGCCCUAGAGAGGACGGUCCCUAGAGAAUAGGGACAUGUGAGGCCGGGACUUGCGGCAGGGAAGUUGGUAAUGGCAUCAGAACCUCAAACGUCAUGACCGUUUGUGCGGCUCCUGCCUACACCGUUCCAUUGGCAUUUUCUCAUCUUUCUCCUGGAUACAGCUAUUUCCCAGCACAACAGGCCUGUAGAAACACCUGGAAGAUUAGAAAGUUUGUCGUCAGUGAUUGGCACCCAUCUCUACGUGCUAGCCCUGCUGUCCGCUCUCUAAAUUUCCAUCUCUGGUCCCUUCGCUCAUCAGGAAAACGUUCAGUGAAGUUUCAACAAGACAGAGAACUGCACAAUACAUUUAAUAGAUUCUCAUUAGGCUGGUUUCAAUUAAAAGAAAAAGUUUGUGGUCUUUUUUUUUUAAG